AACAAAAACAUGUCUGUGUGAAUUAAUUAUAAAGUCUAGCCUGCCCACUGAUUACUUUAAAGGGCCGCGGUAAUUUGACCGUGCGAAGGUAGCAUAGUCAGUAGUCUUUUAAUUGAAGGCUUGAAUGAAAGGUUGGACGAGGGAUAAGCUGUCUCCUUUACGUGGUUUGAACUUAACUUUUGAGUGAAAAGGCUCAAAUUUGAUAGAGGGACGAUAAGACCCUAUAAAACUUUAUAUAGACUUAAUUUAACUUGUGACUUAAGUGAAAAAUAGUUUUGUUGAGUUUAUAUUUUGUUGGGGAGAUGUAGAUAUAAUAUGUAACUGUCUAUUUAAUUUAAUAAUUAUAAUUAGUGUUUGAUCCUUCUUUGUGGAUUAAAAGUGUAAGUUACUUUAGGGAUAACAGCGUGAUUUUCUUUGAGAGUUCUUAUCGACAAGAGUAGUUGCGACCUCGAUGUUGAAUUAAAAUUUCAGCUGGGUGUAGCCGUUUAGCUGGUAGGUCUGUUCGACCUUUAAAAUUUUACGUGAUCUGAGUUCAGAC
rnacentral:rRNA from 1 species